GCGGGAAUAACUCAGUGGUAGAGUGCCACCUUGCCAAGGUGGACGUCGAGGGUUCGAAUCCCUUUUCCCGCU
rnacentral:tRNA from 1 species